UUUUUUGACGUUUUUUUUUUCGCACCGGUUCCCAUCAGAACUCCGCAGUGAAGCGUGCUUGGGCGAGAGUAGUACUAGGAUGGGUGACCUCCUGGGAAGUCCUCGUGUUGCAUUGU
rnacentral:rRNA from 2 species